rnacentral:rRNA from 1 species
UUUCCGAAUGGGGAAACCCAGUGUGAUUCGUCACACUAUCAUUAACUGAAUCCAUAGGUUAAUGAGGCGAACCGGGGGAACUGAAACAUCUAAGUACCCCGAGGAAAAGAAAUCAACCGAGAUUCCCCCAGUAGCGGCGAGCGAACGGGGAGGAGCCCAGAGCCUGAAUCAGCAUGUGUGUUAGUGGAAGCGUCUGGAAAGGCGCGCGAUACAGGGUGACAGCCCCGUACACAAAAGCGCAUGUGCUGUGAGCUCGAUGAGUAGGGCGGGACACGUGGUAUCCUGUCUGAAUAUGGGGGGACCAUCCUCCAAGGCUAAAUACUCCUGACUGACCGAUAGUGAACCAGUACCGUGAGGGAAAGGCGAAAAGAACCCCGGCGAGGGGAGUGAAAAAGAACCUGAAACCGUGUACGUACAAGCAGUGGGAGCACCCUUCGGGGUGUGACUGCG